rnacentral:lncRNA from 1 species
AAAGAAUACACAACUAAUAAGGGGAAGAGGAAGAGGAUAGACCUCCCCUCUACUGUAUUUAGAACCGUGCCCAACUAACUCCUAAUGAUCAGGGCGGUUACUCCUAUAAACCCAACCCUAGAAUAAGAAAGAGAAGGUUGUACAUGUGAUGUAGGAGAAGAUCUGGAUUAAGGGGAAGAACGAUUGGAGGUAGCAAGAACUUCUUCAAUCGAGGGAUGGGUAGAAACUUGGAAUCCACCAAGAAUUCUUGGUUGAGAUCUAGAAUUUAG